rnacentral:ncRNA from 1 species
CUUAUCGUAAGGGAAGGGCCGGAGGAAGCGUGGAAUAAAAUCUCGGCUCGACGAACAGAAAUCUGAUACCAAGGCUCUACAAAGGGAUAAGGCUCCACAACAAGUCAAAGUCCAAAAGAUGUGCGUAGCUUUGUAGGUAAUUAGGCGAGUAAAAGAGGAAUGACAGUUGU